CAGCAUUUGGGUGAGAGCAUCCUGCUGGAUGGCAGCUUUGAUUUUCCACCGUGGAGAGGCAUCGCAGCACAGCGGGAGCUCAGCCAGAGCCAGAGGUCAUUCUGCAGCAUGUGCCCAGCAUCAGGGCACCUUGCAUGGGUGAGAGCUCUGCCGUAUCCCUGCUCAAGCACCUGAGGUUUAUUUGGGCACCCGGGAACCCCCCUUCAUGCACAUCCCUGCCUCGUCCCUGGGGAGGCUGGAGUGAAGCCACUUCAUGUCUCCAGCUCCAUUUGCUCAGCCACAGGACGUACCUAGUGCUGUGCUGAGGAGGUUAACACAGCAUCAGGAGUAACUUCUGCGCCGCUCUGUGAUGAGAGGUGCCAUGCAAGUGCAAAGUAUUUUUAUUAUAAAGCAUUUAAUAAUAAAGGGUGCCUCUCGGAGGAGAAAAUCCACGAAUAACUGCAGUGGAGAGGGCACUCCAUUUUGUAUUGCAAUCAUUGCUCAGCAAAUCCCCCAGAGAAAUGUUUGAAAUGAGUGUGAUAUCUUCCAGGGAGAUCAGUGUACUUCCAGAGGGAUUGUGCUCAGAAACCUCUGAAGCUUCUGUUUCUAUAGCUUUGAUGGCUUAUAGCCUUCUCUAUUUCUAUCAUAAUCCUUCAUUAGGUUUUGCCAAACUGUUCCAAUUGCUAUAGCAACUCUAAUGAAAUCUUGCUCCCUAAAUAGCCACGCCAAUUUUAUCAGGUCAAAAUCUGCCCUUUGCAGCUAAUUCGCUACCUUUUGACCAUACUAUUUUUCCUCUGAGUGGAGAAUUUACUGUGAGAAGAAGCCCAGAAUUAUUAACCCAAAUAUUUUUUUUUUCCCUUUUCAGCUUAAACCAAAGGCUUUCUUUUAAAAUCAAAUGUGUAUUGGACUGUGUGUGCAGGAAAGGCACAAAUCCUCUGGAGAUAAGAGCUGAGGCCUGCUUCCUGUUGCCUUGAAUGCUGCUGCUGGCUGACCUGUGUAUUUGGAGCAAGAUAAUGGAAGUCCGGCAUCAUUACAAAACAGCACAUGGGGAUCCAUUCUGGCUCGCGUUCAAGCCCCUGACAAGGCACUGUCCUGUCGCAGUACCCCAAAGCACUCGGUUUCCCCUUUUUCAUGGAAAUCCAAGACUGCACUCGGCAGUGCCUUUGUUGGCAUGUGAGCGUGUCUCUAAGUGA
rnacentral:lncRNA from 1 species